UUGAGAUAAGGACUCCCGAAGUCUAUAAAGGCUACAAAUUCAACCGUUGGUACAGAGAGAAAGGAGACUGGUCAUGGCAGUAGGAACCUUCCAGUUGAAGAAUAUUCAUUUAGAGGCAACCAGAAGCCUGGGCCAACUGAACAGAAAUCACACCUGUGAAACAAGCAAAGGCAUUUAUACUCUCCUGAUGAGCUAUCUUUCCAGAGAAAAAAACUGGAGUCAAGUAGGGAGGCCUUUGAGCUGUGGCUGCAUUAGUCUUGUUAAUAUGGUGAUCUGGAAUUAGGCCCAUGUAACCCUGAAGAGGAAAAGGAUGAACUGGCUGUUUUAUGCUUGUCUGGUAUAUGUGAGCCUUUUGCAUGGUUGCGGGGGUGCUGUAUAUUUGAUAAAGUUUGGGGAAAGGUAUAACUGGUAGUGUUAUAUUGUACAUUGUUUUAUACAUAACCGUAAUGUAUUGUGAGUACUGUUGUAGAAUGUGUGGGCAAAGGAGGAGGAAGUCUUUCCAGGUAUUGUUGUAGGCACUUAUGGUGCCUAUAUAUAAUGAUAGGGAAGAGAAGGGAGAAUACGAAGUAUAUCUAUGCUCAUAGCUACUACGUGCUGUCAGAAUGCUAAGUUUAUGUUGUGUAUAAUAUGUAUAAUUGAUUGGUACUGCUUCAUUUAUAAUGUAAUAUCUAAUUAUUUUGCUUUAGAAUGUUCUUGAUUCUGUAUAAUGCUUGAUGUAGGUGAUAAAUGAAGAGUUGAAUGCAAUAAAUGGAUAAACUCAUUUGUGACACUCAACUCUUCUCAUACAUAUAUUCAGCUGUGUCUUCCUCUCUAACAUUCCAACAUUAAAUUUAGUCAAUAAUCCCAGCCUAGCUUUCUCCUGCAGCUCUUGAUUGGUGGACCAACCAUUAGGAUUUCAUCUAGCUGACAGACCAAUCUUGCCCUAAUAAAGCAUCAACUAUGGUGUGUGUGUGCACACAUGCAUGUGUGUGCACUUGUGUGCAUAUAUGUGUUUAUGACCAAAUUGCAAUGUUUGAAAUGACAAACUGGAUAUUGACAUAGUUUCCAGAAAGAUUUAAAAGAAAAGCCUAUCUGAAUUUAGCUACCCAAUGGCCUAGAGAAGUUUGUCAGACAGAAGACAUUGGCAAUCCAAAGCUGGAUAUACCUUUUCAAGACACAGGUGAGUGGAAAUGCAGAGUAGGUAUGCACCAGUCUCACUGACGACCAUCUAAGGAAUCACUGGCCCAAAUAAUAGAACGUUCAUUUAUCAAUGCCACCUAAACUUUUCAACACUGAAUGAAAGGCCUCUGUGUUCUCUUUUAUUUUCCAUUCUCACUCUCCCCCCUCCAUUUUUAUUAAUGCCUUUUGUGUUUGGGGAGAUUUGUUUAUAGAGAUUUAUAAUAUACUCCACAGUAUAUUCUCAAUAUGCACCUCCAUGUUGAAUCCUCUUUUGUAAUAAAUGAAAACAAUCAAGCAAGCCCAACCAAAAAAACAACCCACCAAACAAGCAAAAAACAAAUCUGAUAACGUGUCCUAUAUUCCUUACCCAUAAUUCCUACAGGGAAGUGGGUUGUGUUUUGUUCUCUGUGCUCUGAAAUGAGGAUUGUUCAUUGCUACUCAUCAGAGUUCAACCGUCUUUUAGUGUUGUUUUGUAGUCAAAUAAGUUGUUCUCUCCAUUCUGAUUUCUUUAUUCUGUAUCUAUUCAGACGAGUCUUUCCUAUUUCUCUAAAUUCCUCAAUUUUCUCAUUUAUUACAUUAUAAUAAUUUUCUAUUGCAUUCCUAUAACCCAAUUUACUCAGUCAUUCCCUAAUUUAUUGGCAUUUACUUCUUCUUCCCUGCCCCCACCCCCUCACCCCAGUAGUUUUAUACUAAUGAAAAAAUUGUACCUAUAAAUACUUAGUCACUUAUGAGACCUUUUGUUCUGUCAUUGACAUAAUUAGGGUAUAGGCCCAGUAGUAAAAUUACUGCAUCAAAUGGUAUGAACAAUUUAGUGCCUUUUCUUUCAUCAUACUGAAUUGUUUUUCAGAGAUGUCAGACCAGUUUACAGCCCUACCAAUGGUGUAGAUGUAUCUGUCUUCCUCUAGUACCACCCCUCUCAUCACUGAUGGAUUGAUUAUUCUGUUUUUUCAUCAUGGUCAAUUUUAUGGUUAUUUUAAAUAUGAGUUGCUUUAAUUUGUAUUAUUCUUAUUUUUUGUAUUGGUUGUAUUUCUGCUUCUGAA